rnacentral:lncRNA from 1 species
AAGCAUGAAUUUGCAGCUGGAAGAUUUCCCUCGAUCAUAUUCCAGUGGUUCUUAAAUUUUGAUGUACAUAAGAAUCACCAGGGAAAUCUGAUUGAAGUUCAGGUUUCCAGCUUCAGCUCCAGAGAUUCUAGCUCAGCGGGUGUUAGAUGUGACCCAGGGCUCUACCCAUUUAAAAUGAGCUUCCGAUGAGGUUGGUCCGUGUAGCCUAUUCUUUGGGAAAUGCUGGCCUAAUGGCUAAAAACAUGAAUUGGAAACCAAGCACAAGAAGGAGCAAGCUGAUACUUCUGCCAGCAGCAUGACAUUGGGCUGCUGCUAGCCUCAGUUACUCUUCUGUAAAAAGGCAGUAAUGGCCAGGUGCUGUGCCUCACGCAUGUAAUCCCAGCACUUUAGGAGGCCAAAAAGUGGGAGGAUCGUUUGAGCCCAGGAGUUCAAGACCAGCCUGGGCAACAUGGCAAGAUCCCAUCUCUAUUUUUUUUUAAAGUCAGGCAAAAUUCACAGGGCUGUUGCAGGAGAAAAUGGGAUCCUAAUAUAAAGAGCUUGAUUCAGGCUCUGGUCAUGGCAGGCACCAGUACAUCCCAGCUCUUAUUAUUUGUGGUAUUAAUCCUAAUUAUCUGCAAGUUACAGGGCCAGAGAAGACUAGGGGAGUUCGGGUUUUCUAGACCAAACAGACACUCAGUCCUGGGCCUGGAGGUCUCUGCAGUGAGGUGCUGCCACAGACAGAGCCACCUUAACUCCUCAGGACAACCAGUGGCUUCCGACACACACUAUGCACUGGAGGGCAAGCAGCUCUCAGCUUGGGAGCAACUGAGGAUGGUGAACAGCCUGGGCAAGGAGUGCUCUGAGGCUAAGACCCUGAACA